rnacentral:rRNA from 1 species
GCUAAGAAUCUUCCGCAAUGGGCGAAAGCCUGACGGAGCGACGCCGCGUGGAUGAUGAAGGUCUUCGGAUUGUAAAGUCAUUUCGGGGAGGAAGAAUAAGCGUACUCUAACAUAGUGCGUGAUGACGACCCUUCCAGAAGAAGCUCCGGCUAACUACGUGCCAGCAGCCGCGGCAAUACGUAGGGAGUAAGCGUUGUUCGGAAUUACUGGGCGUAAAGGGUGUGUAGGCGGGGACGCAAGUUGGGGGUGAAAUCUACGGGCUCAACGCGUAAACUGCCUCCAAAACUGCGUUUCUUGAGUAUGGGAGAGGAGAUUGGAAUUCCCAGUGUAGGGGUGAAAUCUGUAGAUAUUGGGAAGAACACCAGUGGCGAAGGCGAAUCUCUGGCCUAAUACUGACGCUGAGACACGAAAGCGUGGGGAGCAAACAGGAUUAGAAACCCGAGUAGUCC